rnacentral:rRNA from 1 species
CUUGCUCCCUGAUGUUAGCGGCGGACGGGUGAGUAACACGUGGGUAACCUGCCUGUAAGACUGGGAUAACUCCGGGAAACCGGGGCUAAUACCGGAUGGUUGUUUGAACCGCAUGGUUCAGACAUAAAAGGUGGCUUCGGCUACCACUUACAGAUGGACCCGCGGCGCAUUAGCUAGUUGGUGAGGUAACGGCUCACCAAGGCGACGAUGCGUAGCCGACCUGAGAGGGUGAUCGGCCACACUGGGACUGAGACACGGCCCAGACUCCUACGGGAGGCAGCAGUAGGGAAUCUUCCGCAAUGGACGAAAGUCUGACGGAGCAACGCCGCGUGAGUGAUGAAGGUUUUCGGAUCGUAAAGCUCUGUUGUUAGGGAAGAACAAGUGCCGUUCAAAUAGGGCGGCACCUUGACGGUACCUAACCAGAAAGCCACGGCUAACUACGUGCCAGCAGCCGCGGUAAUACGUAGGUGGCAAGCGUUGUCCGGAAUUAUUGGGCGUAAAGGGCUCGCAGGCGGUUUCUUAAGUCUGAUGUGAAAGCCCCCGGCUCAACCGGGGAGGGUCAUUGGAAACUGGGGAACUUGAGUGCAGAAGAGGAGAGUGGAAUUCCACGUGUAGCGGUGAAAUGCGUAGAGAUGUGGAGGAACACCAGUGGCGAAGGCGACUCUCUGGUCUGUAACUGACGCUGAGGAGCGAAAGCGUGGGGAGCGAACAGGAUUAGAUACCCUGGUAGUCCACGCCGUAAACGAUGAGUGCUAAGUGUUAGGGGGUUUCCGCCCCUUAGUGCUGCAGCUAACGCAUUAAGCACUCCGCCUGGGGAGUACGGUCGCAAGACUGAAACUCAAAGGAAUUGACGGGGGCCCGCACAAGCGGUGGAGCAUGUGGUU